rnacentral:rRNA from 1 species
AGAGUUUGAUCCUGGCUCAGGAUGAACGCUAGCGGCAGGCCUAACACAUGCAAGUCGAGGGGUAACAUAGAAAAGCUUGCUUUUCUGAUGACGACCGGCGCACGGGUGCGUAACGCGUAUACAACCUACCUUUUAGCGGGGAAUAGCCCAGGGAAACUUGGAUUAAUGCCCCAUAGUAUAUGGACUUCUCCUGAAGUUUAUAUUAAACAUUUAUGGCUAUUAGAUGGGUAUGCGUCCUAUUAGUUAGUUGGUAAGGUAACGGCUUACCAAGGCAGCGAUAGGUAGGGGUCCUGAGAGGGAGAUCCCCCACACUGGUACUGAGACACGGACCAGACUCCUACGGGAGGCAGCAGUGAGGAAUAUUGGACAAUGGGCGAGAGCCUGAUCCAGCCAUGCCGCGUGCAGGAAGACUGCCCUAUGGGUUGUAAACUGCUUUUACAGAGGAAGA